rnacentral:lncRNA from 1 species
CUGACUCACACAGAGGCAGCUUCCAGCCUUCCACAGUUCUUCCAAUUCGACACAGUUAUUUAUUUAUUUUUUUAAGGUCCAAACUCCUGUGCAGAGCAAGCAUCCAAAUGCUGUCAUCCUCUCAGCCCCAUGCUCUAGCUCAUUUUUCACACCACUGGAUUUAAUUUACUAUUAUCGUGCCUGGAAUGUGUUUGCAUCUGUAUUCUUGAGAGAUUGCUAUACAGCUCAUUUGAGGCCUCACAAGAUUAAAACUUGAUGCUUCAGACCCUCUGAGCCCCUUUGUCUGCGUGGAACGGGUCUCUAGUCGCGGGUGGACAAAGCGUAGGAUGAGUGACAAACAGACGCACACAGGAGAGGUCGAGGAAUCUGAAUGUCAUUUUUCAAAUCGAGCAUCAGACUUUUUAUGCAGAAGACAAUAAGGAAGUUGGAUGACAUACCUGCAAGGUACAAAUGAGCUUUCCCAGAUAUCUCUGAAGAUACCAUUUUGAAUAGGACUCACAUCACUCACUGCCUUGGUAGGGUCAUCUUUGUUCCACAAGAGGAAAACUGUCCACGAGAGGGUGGAGAUCACUCUGGCCAUGCAUAAUCAGAUUAACAUCAACGGUCCUUUACUCUGAAGAAGCCAUGGAGACCCCUCUUGCUGAUUAAGCCAGCUCAGGCUCCUGUGGAUGCUAUGGCCCUGGGCACUGAGCCCAGCAUCUGAACUUGUUCCUGGACCAGAGGUUCGAGAUGUCCACUUCUGAGGCCAUUUACUUCUUUGUGGGCCACCAGCUGUU